rnacentral:rRNA from 1 species
UGCGUAGACGGUUGCGUAAGUCAGAUGUGAAAGCCCCGGGCUCAACCUGGGAAUUGCAUUUGAGACUGCGUAGCUAGGGUGCGGAAGAGGGAAGCGGAAUUUCCGGUGUAGCGGUGAAAUGCGUAGAUAUCGGAAGGAACACCAGUGGCGAAAGCGGCUUCCUGGUCCAGCACCGACGUUCAGGCACGAAAGCGUGGGGAGCAAACA